GCUUUGAGUAUAUCUAUUGAAAACAGCCAUUUCAUAGUGUCCAAUGCAAAAGUAAACUGUGGCUCCGAACCAUUGCCUUGCCUCUGUCUACAAGCUGCCGGCACUAAAGAGGGUUGCACAGUG
rnacentral:snoRNA from 1 species